GCAUCGGUGGUUCGGUGGUAGGCUUCUUGCCUCCCAUGCUGGAGACCCGGGUUUAAUUCCCAGCCGGUGUA
rnacentral:tRNA from 1 species